GGAUAACUGGUGCCUGGAGGUCUUGUCGGGCUCAUCUUCCGACUCCCCACAGCUCUCUUAGCUGUGCAGCUUGGCAGAUGUGGUUGGACACCGACCUAUUAAUGAUUCAGGACCAUGGACAGCAGCACGCGCUUACUCCCGUGAAGUAGGAGCUGUCAAGAUGGAUCCCAACAAAUAAAAUGUCACCGUCAAUAUUAUAGAAAUUUCCAAACAGAUGAACAUGCCAAGAUGAGUAUCAUUCUGGGAUGUCACAGG